rnacentral:tRNA from 1 species
AAGAAAGCGGCAGAAGUGGUUAUGCGGUUGGCUUGAAACCAAUUUAAGGGGGUUCGAUUCCCUCCUUUCUGG